AGCGUACACGGUGGAUGCCCUGGCAGUCAGAGGCGAUGAAGGACGUGCUAAUCUGCGAUAAGCGUCGGUGAGGUGAUAUGAACCGUUAUAACCGGCGAUGUCCGAAUGGGGAAACCCAGUGUGUUCCGACACACUAUCAUUAACUGAAUCCAUAGGUUAAUGAGGCGAACCGGGGGAACUGAAACAUCUAAGUACCCCGAGGAAAAGAAAUCAACCGAGAUUCCCCCAGUAGCGGCGAGCGAACGGGGAGGAGCCCAGAGCCUGAAUCAGUGUGUGUGUUAGUGGAAGCGUCUGGAAAGGCGCGCGAUACAGGGUGACAGCCCCGUACACAAAAAUGCACAUGCUGUGAGCUCGAUGAGUAGGGCGGGACACGUGGUAUCCUGUCUGAAUAUGGGGGGACCAUCCUCCAAGGCUAAAUACUCCUGACUGACCGAUAGUGAACCAGUACCGUGAGGGAAAGGCGAAAAGAACCCCGGCGAGGGGAGUGAAAAAGAACCUGAAACCGUGUACGUACAAGCAGUGGGAGCCCUGAUUUAUCAGGGUGACUGCGUACCUUUUGUAUAAUGGGUCAGCGACUUAUAUUCUGUAGCAAGGUUAACCGAAUAGGGGAGCCGGAGGGAAACCGAGUCUUAACUGGGCGUUAAGUUGCAGGGUAUAGACCCGAAACCCGGUGAUCUAGCCAUGGGCAGGUUGAAGGUUGGGUAACACUAACUGGAGGACCGAACCGACUAAUGUUGAAAAAUUAGCGGAUGACUUGUGGCUGGGGGUGAAAGGCCAAUCAAACCGGGAGAUAGCUGGUUCUCCCCGAAAGCUAUUUAGGUAGCGCCUCGUGAAUUCAUCUCCGGGGGUAGAGCACUGUUUCGGCAAGGGGGUCAUCCCGACUUACCAACCCGAUGCAAACUGCGAAUACCGGAGAAUGUUAUCACGGGAGACACACGGCGGGUGCUAACGUCCGUCGUGAAGAGGGAAACAACCCAGACCGCCAGCUAAGGUCCCAAAGUCAUGGUUAAGUGGGAAACGAUGUGGGAAGGCCCAGACAGCCAGGAUGUUGGCUUAGAAGCAGCCAUCAUUUAAAGAAAGCGUAAUAGCUCACUGGUCGAGUCGGCCUGCGCGGAAGAUGUAACGGGGCUAAACCAUGCACCGAAGCUGCGGCAGCGACACUGUGUGUUGUUGGGUAGGGGAGCGUUCUGUAAGCCUGUGAAGGUGUGCUGUGAGGCAUGCUGGAGGUAUCAGAAGUGCGAAUGCUGACAUAAGUAACGAUAAAGCGGGUGAAAAGCCCGCUCGCCGGAAGACCAAGGGUUCCUGUCCAACGUUAAUCGGGGCAGGGUGAGUCGACCCCUAAGGCGAGGCCGAAAGGCGUAGUCGAUGGGAAACAGGUUAAUAUUCCUGUACUUGGUGUUACUGCGAAGGGGGGACGGAGAAGGCUAUGUUGGCCGGGCGACGGUUGUCCCGGUUUAAGCGUGUAGGCUGGUUUUCCAGGCAAAUCCGGAGAAUCAAGGCUGAGGCGUGAUGACGAGGCACUACGGUGCUGAAGCAACAAAUGCCCUGCUUCCAGGAAAAGCCUCUAAGCAUCAGGUAACAUCAAAUCGUACCCCAAACCGACACAGGUGGUCAGGUAGAGAAUACCAAGGCGCUUGAGAGAACUCGGGUGAAGGAACUAGGCAAAAUGGUGCCGUAACUUCGGGAGAAGGCACGCUGAUAUGUAGGUGAAGCGACUUGCUCGUGGAGCUGAAAUCAGUCGAAGAUACCAGCUGGCUGCAACUGUUUAUUAAAAACACAGCACUGUGCAAACACGAAAGUGGACGUAUACGGUGUGACGCCUGCCCGGUGCCGGAAGGUUAAUUGAUGGGGUCAGCGCAAGCGAAGCUCUUGAUCGAAGCCCCGGUAAACGGCGGCCGUAACUAUAACGGUCCUAAGGUAGCGAAAUUCCUUGUCGGGUAAGUUCCGACCUGCACGAAUGGCGUAAUGAUGGCCAGGCUGUCUCCACCCGAGACUCAGUGAAAUUGAACUCGCUGUGAAGAUGCAGUGUACCCGCGGCAAGACGGAAAGACCCCGUGAACCUUUACUAUAGCUUGACACUGAACACUGGUCCUUGAUGUGUAGGAUAGGUGGGAGGCUUUGAAGUGUGGACGCCAGUCUGCAUGGAGCCGUCCUUGAAAUACCACCCUUUAAUGGCUGGUGUUCUAACGUGGGCCCGUAAUCCGGGUUGCGGACAGUGUCUGGUGGGUAGUUUGACUGGGGCGGUCUCCUCCUAAAGAGU
rnacentral:rRNA from 1 species